GAUGAACGCUAGCUACAGGCUUAACACAUGCAAGUCGAGGGCAGCAUGAACUUAGCUUGCUAAGUUUGAUGGCGACCGGCGCACGGGUGAGUAACACGUAUCCAACCUGCCGAUGACUCGGGGAUAGCCUUUCGAAAGAAAGAUUAAUACCCGAUGGCAUAGUUCUUCCGCAUGGUGGAACUAUUAAAGAAUUUCGGUCAUCGAUGGGGAUGCGUUCCAUUAGGUUGUUGGCGGGGUAACGGCCCACCAAGCCUUCGAUGGAUAGGGGUUCUGAGAGGAAGGUCCCCCCACAUUGGAACUGAGACACGGUCCAAACUCCUACGGGAGGCAGCAGUGA
rnacentral:rRNA from 1 species